GUGUGUUGUGGCGUUCCGGCCGGUGGGCAACGGGCUCCGUGGCGUGUAGCGGCUCCGUCGGCGCCUUGGAGUGGUGGUGGUGGGGGCCUCCUGUCAGGCUUCCUCAGCUCUCUGGGUCGCUGCGAUAAUCCUUUAGUCCUUGGCGGCGUCGUGCAGCAUCGGGACAUUCGGCAGUUGAAGUGUCUCCGAUCGCAAGAUCAGAUUCAAUUUAUCUGGACCGGGCAACGGCGGUGUCUUCGGACGUCGUACCCUCCUUGAAGACGUUGCUUUUGGACCCUUUGUCUCAAUGCGGCGGAUCCUUGAAUAAGUAUUGUGAAGUUUUCGGCUCGGUUUUCCUUAUAAACGGAACCAUUCUAUUCUUCUUAAUGAAUUGCAGGAGCACCCUGCCCUCUUGACGAGGUUCCGUAAAAAAAAGUGACGUGAAUCACGUCACUUAUUUCAGGACGGAGUGAGUAUAAUUUUUCCUUCUAUAGUUGAUGGUUGCUAUGCAGGAUGUUUGAUUCACUAGGAAAGGAAAUGCUCACAUCCAAGUUUGCCAUCGACCCCUUUGUGCCGGGGGCUGGGAAGCAGGAGAGAUUUAUCUGA